CCUAGAGCGGAGAGGGGGAGAUCCCGGCAUCUUGCCCUCACAUGUGCGCCGAUGUGAGAAUAUCUUAUGUGGGGUAACGGCUCUCCUAGGCGACCAUCCCUAGCUGGUCUGAGAGGAUGACCAACCACACUGGGGACUGAGACACGGUCCACACUCCUCCCGGAGGCGGCACUGGGGAAUAUUGCACAAUGGGCGCAAGCCUGAUGCACCCCUGCCGCGUGUAUGAAGAAAGCCUCCUGGUUGUAAAGUACUUUCUUCGCGGAGAAAAGUGUUGAGCUUAAUAACCACAGCACUUGACAUUACCCCCACAAAAAACACCGGCUAACUCCAUGCCCCCACCCGCGCUAAUACACAUGGUGCGCGCGCUAAUCUCAAUUACUCUGCGCGUAGCGCGCGCGUGCGGUCUGUCAAGUCAGAUGUGAGAUAUCCCGGCUCUCCCUCGUAGCUGUGCUCUAAUCUGUCAGGCUAUAGUCUUGUAGAGAGGGGUAUAAUACUACGUGUGGCGGUGAAAUGCGUAGAGAUCUGGAGGAGUAUCGCUGUCGAAAGCGGCCCCCUCUACGAAGACAGACACUCUCGUGCGACAGCGUGUGGAGCACACACGAUUAUAUACACUGUUGGUCCACACCGCCCACAAUAUCUAUACUAAGGUUGUGCGCUUGAGGCGCGUCUUCCCGAGCUAACCCACUGAAUCUACCCGCCG
rnacentral:rRNA from 1 species